rnacentral:rRNA from 1 species
CCCUUAGAUGUCCGGGGCUGCACGCGCGCUACACUGUAGAAAGCAGCGUGCUUUAAAACCUUUCCUGAAAAGGAUGGGUAACCCCAGCAAAAUUCUACGUGCUUGGGAUAGAGAUUUGCAAUUUUCUCUCUUGAACGAGGAAUUCCCAGUAAGUGCGAGUCAUCAGCUUGCGUUGAUUACGUCCCUGCCCUUUGUACACACCGCCCGUCGCUACUACUGAUUGGAUGUUUAAGCGAGGUUCUCGAACUGCUAGCGACUUAGCUUCGGUGAGGUCGCAGUGUGGGAAGUGAACCUAGCUUUGGUGUCUAGAGGAAGUAAAAGUCGUAACA